CAAUAGCGUAUAUUAAAGUUGUUGCAGUUAGAACGCUCGUAGUCGGAUUUCGGGGCGGGCCGACCGGUCUGCCGAUGGGUAUGCACUGGUCGGCGCGUCCUUCCUUCCGGAGACCGUCCCUACUCUUAACUGAGCGGGGGCGGGAGACGGGACUUUUACUUUGAAAAAAUCAGAGUGUUUCAAGCAGGCAGCUCGCUCUUGUAUGGAUUAGCAUGGGAUAAUGAAAUAGGACUUUGGUGCUAUUUUGUUGGUUUCGAACACCGAAGUAAUGAUGAGAAGGGACAGUCAGGGGCACUCGUAUUCCGCCGAGAGAGGUGAAAUUCUCAGACCAGCGGAAGACGAACCACUGCGAAAGCAUUUGCCAGGGAUGUUUUCACUGA
rnacentral:rRNA from 1 species